rnacentral:SRP_RNA from 1 species
GCCAGGCGCGGUGGCUCACGCCUGUAAUCCCAGCACUUUGGGAGGCCGAGGCAGGUGGAUCAUCUGAGGUCAGGAGUUCAAGACCAGCCUGACCAACAUGGUGAAACCCUGUCUCUA